GUGCUCACUUCAGCAGCACAUAUACUAAAAGUGGAGCGAUACAGAGACGAUUAGCAUGGCCCCUGCACAAGGAUGGACACAGAAAUUGGUGAAGCCUUCCAUAUUUUU
rnacentral:snRNA from 1 species